UUACGGCCAUAUCUCGUAGAUACAUCGGUUCUCGUACGACCACCGAAGUUAAGCAACGUCGAGCCUGGUCUGUACCUAGAUGGCUGACCGUUUAAGCAUAUCAGGUGCUGUAAG